UCAUUAGCAUUAAUUAACAUUAAUUAGCAUCCAUGUUUACAACAUGACGACCUUCGUGCGCUCUGAUUGGUCUCACCAGUGACGUGUCGAAGGAGAAGGCGGGGCUUCGAGCUGACAGCAGGGAGUCAGGAGAGGGGGAGGAGCCUCGCAUGGCCAGGUGGAGAGACUGUCGUCGCCCUCCGUGGAGCUCACGCUGUCACGGUAACGGGACCUGGAGGGGCGGUGCCUGCGAGCUUUGACAGACAGCUGGGCGCGGCCCUUCUGGAUGCUGUUGUCCAGCAGCUCCGUCUCUGGGACCUCGUUCAGCCGGUUAGGGAGGACCGCGUCUCCCAGGGUUCCACGGGGCUUCGCUCCAGGCCAGGCGACGAUCUGGGCUGUGUCCAGAGGAUUGUGGGCGCUGUAGUUUCCUCUUCCAGGACGUUCAGCCUCGUCU